rnacentral:rRNA from 1 species
ACGCUCGACACCUACAGAGGCAGCAGUGGGGAAUAUUGCACAAUGGGGGAAACCCUGAUGCAGCGACGCCGCGUGAGUGAAGAAGUAUUUCGGUAUGUAAAGCUCUAUCAGCAGGGAAGAAAAUGACGGUACCUGACUAAGAAGCCCCGGCUAACUACGUGCCAGCAGCCGCGGUAAUCUGAGCGGGCUGGCAAGGC